AUGAGGCGGGGGCUGGAAGGUCUCCCGAGCGCUCCUGCCCCUCAGCCGCGGCGGCGGGGGGGGAAGCGGAGGGCAAGGCAGAAGGCACGCCAUGGCUGUCCGCAGGGCGAUGCCGGCCAUCCCGGGCUUGGUAGGCCGGUGUAUGGCUGGGGGAGGCCGCUGGCUCGGUCAGGGCUGUGCCUGCGCCCGCCCGUGGGGGGUCCGAGGGGCAGCAUGGCGCUGCGUCCUGUGGGAGGCCCGGGCCGGCGGGGCUUCUGGCACUUUCACACCUCCGUUGCUGCGCAAAAAGGCACGAGGUGUGAAACGGCCUGUGCGACAUUGUCUGCUGUCUCCGCGGCCGCUCCGUGGCUCUGGCUCGUGGCUUUUGUUUCAGGGGUUUUGGGAAGUCGGUGCAAAGGAAAGGCGUUUGUCCAGCCCCCCGGCCUCGUCCUCCAUUGCCAGAAUGGUGGACGUUGUCUCUGGAAGUGCUCACCACCGGCCUGGAAGCAGUCCCUUGAUAACGGGGGAACCAUUGCAGAAACACAACACUUCUUGUGCUUCUGGGUCAGAGCACUGACCGAGGCCAAAGCCGCUCGCGGGUGGUGGUGUGGCAGUAACGCUUCUGCGGCGCUGUUUGUGCACGGGCUUCUCUUCACCUUUGGCUCCGUUUAAUCUCUUGUUUGGCAAAACAACACAGUGCUCCUCUCCUUUGUGUGUCUCCAUCUCCAGCUACUUGAACUGCCUCCAAAGACUGCUAAAGGCCACAGGAGGGCCGGGGAAGCAUCCUGGCAGCGUGUGCGCUCCGGCUGCCUGGAGGUGCUGCUCCAGGUACUCCUCCAAAAGGCGCAGCAGGACCUCCAGCCAUGCUCCUCAGCCCUGCAAGGGGCCAGGCCUUGUGUGUGAAGGACCACACGUCAGGGAGCAGGGCAGGGGAGCAGCAUGCCUUCCCUGCAUCCCUCUCCAGUGGCUGUGUGGCUCAGCAGCUCCCAGUGUUACCACUGACAGGGCGAGGCUGGCCCUCAAAGCUGGGGAGUGUAACCAGCUCCAGAAAACAUCCCUGCUCUUUCCCACAGGGAGCAGCAAAUCUGGCUGGCAGACGAAAAGCAAAUGUGGUUAUAUCUGAAAGCUGUUGAUUUCAACAGAGUGGCUCAAGAUUCAUGAACGCCUUUGUGGAGGAGCAUUACAGGCUACACGGGGGUAGCAGGAACUUGUUUUUAGGGUUCUGCUACUGUAGGGGAAUGGAAAUCAGAAUUUCACUUGCCCCAAACCAGUUUAUACUUGUCUCAUGGCAACUCAGACUUCUCCUCAUAAACAUGCCAAAGCAGGUGCGAUGAUUCAGCUUAUUGUGGUUUUAUGUCCUAAAGUGCUGGUCCCUUGCCACUACUCCUGCUUUUGAGAGUUUGAAACUGCUUGUGCUAUUAUCUCAAUUAUUUUUUUAAUUAUUUAUAUAGGCAGUGUGGGAAAAGCAAUGAGAGUGAUUGCACUUGAAAUGGGAAAUCUGCUUGGAUGAGUUUUUGAAUCACUUAUGCUCUGCCUAAACUACACCAUCAGGUAAAUGAAGGGGAAACUCCCAAAUGGCACAAAGCUUUCGCCUCCACCUCCGGCACCACAUGCCAGCCCUGGGAUCCCCAGCCGAGAUGUGGAGGAGCGCAACAAGGGCUCCAGUGCUUCCCACUGCCUCCUUUCAUCCCCCUGGAACGGUUUUCUUCCCCUGCAGUAUUUCAUAAGGCCUAGUGUCUGGCAAAAUAGCAACCAGAGUGAAAGAAGGCUGGUGUGAAAAUUUAUACAUUUUUUCUCAGGGAUGAUAACGCAGUAAGUGCUUUUAUCCCAAGAAUGUGUUUUUAUAAGUCAGAUAUCCCUGAAUGUCUUUGGAGCCCAGCAGGUUCUCUAGCAAUCCUGCUCUGCUUCCCAGAACUCUUUCUCCUUCCCUGAUAAUGUUGCUUUGUCACUGACUUCUGUGAGCCUUAUACAGGAGAUCAGAAAUUGCUUUCCAGAUGAUAACUGGAUAGUGAAGCUAUUAAAAGGGAAGCAAGUCCGCUAGAAGCUCAGUAAGGGCCCUGAUUCCCCAUAUUCAUUCUAAGCCUAUAUUUACCUGCUUUUCCCCUCUCCAGAUCCAUUUUCUAAGAAGGUACAGUACCCAAGUAUUGUAGCGUCAGAGAAAGAGGCUUGAUUUGUUCCACCCAUCCUGACAGUAAAAGGGUAAGGAAAAUGCGACAACAAAGAAUCAUAACUAAAACAAUUGCCCAGAACUGAAAUGCUUUUUCUCCCAGCAGGGCAGGAGCUUAGCACAACAAUAAAGUUGGAAGAACCUACCCCACUUCAGCUUUUAAACACUGCAGAAGGCUACAAGGGCACCGAACGGCAGAUAAACUCACAAAGUAGGGAGUAGCUGAUUUAAAUUCUGCAGACACUGCGUGUACUGCACGGCUGCGCAUGGAUUUUGGAGCCAUCCAUGAUGUGGGGAAAAUACUGCAUCCCUCAUGCAGUUUCUGGUUACCAAGGCAAAGGCAGGGUUACAUUAAACAAUGGAAGUAAUGAUAAAAAAUCUGAAGAUGUAUAAUUUCAUAAGUGCUUGAGUUGAAACGCAGGAAGUUUCUGGAGCCCCUGAAGAGGGAAUAGUUCCCAUCAGUAACGUUACAUUCACGCCUUCAACCUCGCAUCUUGAUAAACUGUCAUGCAUAAUCACCACGUUUAUUAAAAUGUCUUGUUACAGAAAGAUCACUUAGCUUUUAGUGGAAUUAUGUGACUUAUCUUUCAAAGGCCAUGCAGGUCUGAAAGCUGACAUUAUUCUGAAGCUUUAAUUAGGGAACAAGAAGCAAAACGAGUAAGCUCUUCCUCGUAAGCAGCCACUGCCGUUCCGGCAGCACUUCAUUUGCUGGAAACCUCCUCCACUUACGGCUGCACUUUCAGAUGUUCACAGACCUUACCUGCGUCUCCAGUCGAUGGACUUCCAGGCCAUGGGAUGCCACGUGUCGGGUCUUGUGACAGGAGAGUCCCUAAAGCCACCGGAGCGCGACUGACACAAUACAAUAGAGAAGAAGGAAGAGUCGAGUCAACUCUCAGCAGUUUCAGCUACGUUUCCAGGAAGAGACAAAGUCCUGGCUCUUCUCCAAGUUAUCCAUAGAGUGCUUGAGAGUAAGAUCAGAAAGCAUUCCUCCCGCAGCUGGGACACUUUCUAAGAAGGGAGAAAUUGAACAAAACACAACACGGAGCUGGUGUUAUCGCCCUGCAGACAAGCAAGGAGGCACAUGGCCUUGGAAAGGCCCAUGAAGUACUAAGUCAAGGUGAAGACAGCAGCAGAAUUUACAGGAUUUAAGAUUCUCGGCCCUGUAAAGCACAGCUGAGCAUUUGCAAGGAGCCAUUCUCCAUUUCUGAGACUGACGGUGGCUGUGAAGCUGGAUGGCCUAUGGAAGAUCCUAGAAUUUAAUUUCAAGCAUUUUAGGAGACUCUCAGCUUCCUGUUGCAGUUGGUGUGGGGAUGAACAUACCCUUGGAUUUGGGAAUUUUUCAAGAGUCGUUAUUCAGAUAGGAGUUGGUAACUAUGGUUUCAGACGUCUCCUCUGAGGGAUACUGCUGCUCACAGACAAAGGGAAGUCUGGUUUUGGAUCAUGAAGCAAGGGGCUUCGGGGUUGUGUGGUUAUGAACACAAGCACUAAGCUUUCAGAGAGGGAGUUAAAUAAAAACAUGCACAAAUCUACCUACAAGUAACCAUCGCAGGAAAUGUAAAGACUUGUCUGAGAAGUGGAGUUCCUUUGAACGCAAGCAGACAGUGGCUCACGUGUAUGGAGCAAAUGGGCCAAGUAAAGAGACAGAAUUACCUUCCCCUGUGAGCCCACAAGCCAAAACACAGCUGGUAGCACUAUUAGUCCUGUAAAGCCUGGCAGUCUUCAUUUAUUAUGCACCCUGCAAAUAAUUAUACCUAUAGUUAAACUUAUAGCUCAGAAGCUGCAUUCAGUAGUUGGCAGGGUACGUUCCUCGCUGGUAUAGAUCCUUUGACCUCAUUAGGCUCACAUCAGGAGUGAAUCUGGUCCUUUGUGUUUUCAGAAUAAAUCAUAGAUCUUUUUCAUCUCCGCAUCUCGGGAGUAUAGGUUGCUCCUCCGUCGGCUGUCAUCACGAUCUGACUUAGGUUUUGUUUCAGGAUCCUGCCUGGCCUUCCUUAAAGGCUGUGUGGAGUUCUCCUGGUAAUAACAGCAACUUUCCCAGAGGGCUUAAAUUAGGAUUCAUUUCCCACGUUUUGGAAAGUUGCUUUCCCUUUUCUGAAAAUUAAAGCAAACAUACCCUCUCCCCACCAUGCAUUAUUGAAAGUUCAACAAGAGCCAUCCCUUGGAGGAGGAAUGAAGGCCUGUAUAACAAACUUGCACUCUUUAGGGAACAAUGACAUUAAGUGUCAAGUUUAUAAACUCCCAUCCGCAGUGGCAUUAACACCCGCUGGAAUCCAUUCGGCACUCAGGACCCUUGAGCUAUUACUUUGUAGGUUACAUUUAGGUCACAUUUUCUCUGUGAACACAAGUACAAGAGAAUUACCUUUUAUCUUCAUAAAAGCAAGACUCCGUGGUGGUGGUUUUUUUAAAAAAAGAAAAAGCAAACCUACAAUGCCAGAACAAGUCAAAGGCUGCUCUGCUCUGCUCUGCUCGGUUCCCCAGGAGAAAGACGCAGUAUGCUUUUGAGGAACAGACCUUGGGACCCUACUGAAGUUACUCCUACCCUUGGUUUCCAGAGGUACAUCUCGCUCCUGGCAGCUCAGAGUCCGGCCAACACUCCGGGGGGAUAUUUUUAUGUGCCGACCUUCAGGACAGCGCUGAGAGCAGGUCCUUCUUCCCCAUAGUGAGCGACUGAAGCCUGUUAGGUAUGCAACUGGAACAAGAAAAGAGAGGGAAUUAGAAACCCCAGAAUGCCUUCAUUUGAGGAUCACACCUGCCUAAAAUCCAGGACUUUGUUCUGUGCCCUCCUUGCCUGAGUUAUCCUGGCUAAAUGCAGCGCCCAGGCAGUGUUCAAAUGAAACUAAACGUAAUCCCUAAGAGGUUAAUUGAGCAUGAAUGCUCAGCGCUAAUCCAAACUACAAAUACUGCAUGCAUUUAAAGCUGAGUGAUAAACUGUUUUCUCAUCCCAUAUUAAAAACCUUUCACCAUUUUAUGAAGUGUUUGCCCCGUGCAGAGGAUGACACAAUUUCUUUCUGAUUUGUUUGAAUUCUCUCUGCAAACAUGCAGGUUUGAGCCCCAUUCAGAACAGGCCGUAGCUCGUGAUCAGGCUUCUUCCUGCCUCUGGCUUGAAGUGAGCAGGCAAAUGCACCCGUGAAUCCCAUUUCCAUCAACUUGCAAGUCUUUUUCACGGUGGUUUUCACCCCGUACACCUUGAAGCUGGAGCAUCCCUCUCAAGCGGGGUGCUGCCAUCGGUGGGACUGGAGCUUGCUGGUGUUACCCUCAGCUCCUCCCUGGGGACAGCAGCGAUUCUCCCCCAUUCCCUGCGGCAUCAUUAUUUCUACUCUGCAAUAAGACUUAUUAAUCUUUAUGGGCCAGCCCUGUAAUCAGGAGAGCUCAAUAAAACUGACACCAUCACCCCUCCUUGCACUGCCAUCUGCACUGGGAAUCGCCCUACCCCGACCACAGCUCUAGUGAACCAGGAGAGCUCUGAAACUGGGCAGGGGGUGUGUGAAUGCUGCAACUAAAGGGAAAUGCUUCAAGCAGGGUGGAAAUACAGUUCAGUCCAACGGAUUAUGUAAAAGCACAGUAUUUGGUGCCUGUGAGCAAGGUGGGGGGGUGCUGCCCACUGGGUGCCCUGCUCAGAGAGAAGGGGCAGCAACCGAGGGUCCCGCGGCACAGACCUCUCUUCCCCGAGCAGGACACAAAGGGGUUUAGUCUCCACGGUCUGUAGUAAGCUAUUUUCAGCUUAUACAUUUGUUAUUGCCAAGAUCGGCCAUCCAAAAUGCCUACUUAUCAUGCAAAAUGUGGAACUAGGUAUGUGCUGCCCAUUGUACAUCAAAGUAAUUGAUUUUUUUUUAUAAUGGAAACUGUCUGAUGAUUCACUGGGGUAAAUCAAGCAAAACAGUAGAAAAGCGAGAUGGAAAAUAGGAAGGGAACCAGGACCGGUAAUAAAUCAUGAUAGAUGGUAUUCAGUAUAUUGCUAUAGCAGUAAGUCAAUAGAGUGCUAAGCUGCAUAAAUAAAAGAUAAUGUGUUUCAUCUCUGCAGGGUGUUGCUCAGGCUGUACCUAUUAAAAGGAUCACCUAGGUCUGCAGAAAAUACACACAGCAACAAGUUUUGCCAUAUUGUCCUGAUAAAUCAGAUCUGUAUUAAGAUUGUAAGAGUUACUUUGCCAAAAUGGAGGGGGAAAUGAAUAUUUCGCAUUACUGCAGCUACAGGGAAACACACGCAGAUAUGGAAAAAUACUCCUUACUGGUGUACUGAGGUAUGUGGAAGCGGAAGCUCAAAUUCUCCUGGAAUGACGAGGAGGUGGGACAGUUUGCUGUUUCUGUGAUUUCCAGGGAUUAAAGUCAGCUUCCUCUUGCUUAAGAUCUACAUGAAUAAGGCUACACAGGGA